rnacentral:misc_RNA from 1 species
GAUGAAGAACGUAGCGAAAUGCGAUAAGUAAUGUGAAUUGCAGAAUUCAGUGAAUCAUCGAACCUUUGAACGCACAUUGCGCCCCUUGGUAUUCCGAGGGGCAUGCCUGUUCGAGCGUCAUUAUAACCCCUCAAGCUCAGCUUGGUGUUGGGGCCUGCCGCACGGGCAGCCCUUAAAAUCAGUGGCGGUGCCAUCUGGCUCUAAGCGUAGUAAUUCUUCUCGCUAUAGAGUCCCGGUGGAUGCUUGCCAUUAACCCCCAAUUUUCUAUGGUUGACCUCGGAUCAGGUAGGGAUACCCGCUGAACUUAAGCAUAUCAAUAAGCGGAGGA